CCUGCUCUUGAAAGGGUGGCAAGUGUGACUGCUGUGGCACAUGCAUGUCAGUAGGUGGCAGAGUGGAGACAGGCUAUGUUUACACUCAGGGUUCUGACAUUUGAACAUCUGAAUGAAUGAUGAGUAGCCUAAACUU